rnacentral:misc_RNA from 1 species
GGCAUAGAAGGUUCAGGCCAGGAAUGGCAAUGGAAAACGGAUCAAAGAGAUGGGGUUUUCAGUCCAACAAGGGCUUGAACACUGCGCCUUCUAUAAGAGUACGAGGAGUUAUCAACGCUUUAAUGGAGUAUCUCAACAAACAAGACGAAAGGCCACUUAUUCCUCUGGGUAACGGCGACCCUUCUGCCUUCCCAUGCUUCCGUACCACUUCUGUUGCUGAAGAUGCCGUUGUCCACGCCUUAAAAUCCGCCAAAUACAACUGUUAUGCUCCAAGUGGUGGUAUUCUUCCCGCCAGGAGGGCUAUUGCAGAUCACCUUAGUCGUGAUCUCCCAUACAAGUUAUCAGCAGAUGAUGUUUUUGUUACACUUGGAUGCAUACAUGCUAUUGAAGUCACAUUAAGAGCACUUGGCCGACCUGGCACUAACAUUUUGCUUCCAAGACCAGGUUUCCCAUACUAUGAAGCUGUUGCUCCACAAACUUGUCUUGAGGUUCGCCAUUUUGAUGUUCUACCAGAAAAAGGCUGGGAGGUUGAUCUUGAAGCUGUUGAGGCUCUGGCAGAUGAGAACACUGUUGCCAUGGUUAUCAUAAACCCUGGAAAUCCUUGUGGAAAUGUCUACAGCUACGAACAUUUAAAGGAAAUUGCAGAGACAGCUAGAAAGCUUGGAAUUAUGGUGAUUGCUGAUGAAGUAUAUGGG